ACUUGUAAUGACUCUUGCAUUUUUUACAGAAAGUUAUCUAAGUAAAUCUUUCACAAUAGCUUAGGACUUUUUGUGGUGUGCCAAAAUAUAUCCUACCUCAAUGCCACUGGGAUCCAGGAAUUAGAUGAAGUGUCAGAGAAGCUAAAACAAAGACUCAUGCCUGGAAUAUUCCUAAAAGAAUCCGAAAAGCAUCAGUGUUCUGUGGCUGAGUGGUGCUGUUUGAGGAGGAUCAUUUGCUGCUGCUAGAUGAAACUUGUAAAAAUACCAGGAGAAGAAAGGUUCCAAGACUUUGAUUCCCAGUUUGAAGUUGAUGAUUCCCAAUGAAGAUGGCAGCACUGUCAACACCCUGCUUCAUGCCAGCCUCUCCUGGUGCAGAAGAGGAAGGGAUUGCUGGUUUUCCAGUAAAAAAAAUGUGAUGGCAUGGAAUGUUUGACAACUCUGCAAACCUUGGAAGCA